UGCAGUCGAACGGUGAUAGCAAUAUCAUAGUGGCGCACGGGUGCGUAACACGUAUGCAACCUACCUUAUACUGAGGGAUAGCCUUUCGAAAGGGAGAUUAAUACCUCAUAACACAUUGAACUGGCAUCAGUUUAUUGUUAAAGAUUUAUUGGUAUAAGAUGGGCAUGCGUCCAAUUAGUUAGUUGGCGAGGUAACGGCUCACCAAGACGAUGAUUGGUAGGGGAACUGAGAGGUUAAUCCCCCACACUGGCACUGAGAUACGGGCCAGACUCCUACGGGAGGCAGCAGUAGGGAAUAUUGGGCAAUGGAGGCAACUCUGACCCAGCCAUGCCGCGUGCAGGAAGAAGGCGUUAUGCGUUGUAAACUGCUUUUAUAUAGGAAGAAAUAGACCUUGCGAGGUAAGUUGACGGUACUAUAUGAAUAAGCACCGGCUAACUCCGUGCCAGCAGCCGCGGUAAUACGGAGGGUGCAAGCGUUGUCCGGAUUUAUUGGGUUUAAAGGGUGCGUAGGCGGUUUAUUAAGUCAGUGGUGAAAGACGGUCGCUCAACGAUUGCAGUGCCAUUGAUACUGGUAGACUUGAGUGGGAUUGAGGUAGCUGGAAUGGACAGUGUAGCGGUGAAAUGCAUAGAUAUUAUCCAGAACACCAAUUGCGUAGGCAAGUUACUAAGUCUCAACUGACGCUGAGGCACGAAAGUGUGGGUAUCAAACAGGA
rnacentral:rRNA from 1 species